rnacentral:rRNA from 1 species
AUACGGAGGGUGCAAGCGUUACUCGGAAUCACUGGGCGUAAAGGAUGCGUAGGCGGAUAAUCAAGUCAAAAGUGAAAUCCCACGGCUUAACCGUGGAACUGCUUUCGAAACUGGUUAUCUAGAAUAUGGAAGAGGCAGAUGGGAUUAGUGGUGUAGGGGUAAAAUCCGUAGAGAUCACUAGGAAUACCGAUUGCGAAGGCGAUCUGCUGGGACAUUAUUGACGCUGAGGCAUGAAAGCGUGGGGAGCAAACAGGAUUAGAAACCCCAGUAGUCC